rnacentral:rRNA from 1 species
GAUGAACGCUGGCGGCGUGCUUAACACAUGCAAGUCGAACGAAGCACUUUGGACAGAUUCUUCGGAUGAAAUUCUUAGUGACUGAGUGGCGGACGGGUGAGUAACGCGUGGGUAACCUGCCUCAUACAGGGGGAUAACAGUUAGAAAUGGCUGCUAAUACCGCAUAAGCGCACGGUACUGCAUGGUACAGUGUGAAAAACUCCGGUGGUAUGAGAUGGACCCGCGUUGGAUUAGCUAGUUGGCAGGGUAACGGCCUACCAAGGCGACGAUCCAUAGCCGGCCUGAGAGGGUGAACGGCCACAUUGGGACUGAGACACGGCCCAGACUCCUACGGGAGGCAGCAGUGGGGAAUAUUGCACAAUGGGGGAAACCCUGAUGCAGCGACGCCGCGUGAGCGAAGAAGUAUUUCGGUAUGUAAAGCUCUAUCAGCAGGGAAGAAAAUGACGGUACCUGACUAAGAAGCCCCGGCUAACUACGUGC